UUCUUCUUCUUCUCCCCACCUUUUUUUAUUUCCUACUUCAUUCUACCUGACUCGCCUCCAGGUACGAAACAUACCGAAAAAGAACCAAGAUGGCGUUGAUUUCGACAAGAGGAAAGGGGGCCAGCAAGCAAGCAAGCAAGCACUAUAUCGCCUUGAUGGAUCUUUGCCCGCGUGUAGUGGCCUCGCACGGACAGACAUGGUGCGUAAUAAUUAAACGACCGUCGACAGACCAGACUUAAUCGCAGUUCCAACAAUUCAUGAGCUUGUAAUGGAUCGAUCCCCUCGCUCAUGAUGAAUCGCUAUCCUUUUAGUCCACCCACACAGAAAUUAUUGUCUUGCAUGGAAAAACAAUAACCGCCAGGCAAACGAAUUUAACGUCUUUUCAAAAACUACAAAGACUAAAACCCGGAACUGCUGGACACGAUCGAAAUUCAACCUUGUUUUUACAUACCCACUGACUCAAUCAUUUUUAAUUGCAUUUCAUUUGGAAGGAAAUAAAAAUAUAAAACUCACCACGUGUUGUGGAACCUUUGUCGAGGGAAAUGUAAAGAAGACACCGCCGUUGUUGUUGUUGUUUUUUUCUUCUUGUGUGACACACUCAACACAUAACAACAGCACACUACACACACUCACACACAAACACACACGAUGACGACUUGGCAACGCCGGCCGUCUAUCUCUAACCGUUUCGUAUGUAUACAACAUACGCGACACUUUUUGGUGGGGUGGUGUGAUGAUUGUAGGGGGAGGUAGCAGUUCAAACAGUUGAAAUUGAAAAUUACCCGCCAAUUUUCUUCUUAUUCUUCACCUCAUUUCUCCUGUUUUAUUUUUGAAAAUAUUUUUCUUUUGGUGUUGAAAACAACAACCAAGGUUCACACGAAACUUUUUGGGUUUUCAGUGUUUUCUCGAGGUCACACACACUUUAUAAGGAGGGAUAAUCACUCUUGAUUUAACAUGAUCUCGUGUGUGUGUUCAAACUUGUGUCUUGUGGUUUUCGCACUUUUGAUUUUCAACGAAAGGCAGUGUGAGAUGAGUCAGAAAGAAAGAUGUCCGUGACGUAUCACCAGACUCGACGAAACGUGUGUGUCGAUUGUGAAAGGAAAUAAUUUU